ensembl:lncRNA
GUAAGAAUCAGCUUUUCUAAUUUGCACUUAAUUUCUGUGCCAGCUCAUUCUGCUGUGAGGAAAUAUUUGAUGGGGUAAAGGUUGCAAAUAUUUUCUAUUUAAAAAAAUUAUCUGCAGAUUCACAUUUCCCUUUGCUUCCCUUCUUCCUUUCUAUAGUACUUACUACUUCAUUGAAUGAAAAGAAGAUGAGAAGAAAAUACUCAAAUACCUAUGAAUUACAUAUGGGAAAAAGAACAGUUUACCAUUGGAAAAACCUGGCAGAUACCACCUUAGCCAGAUGAUCAAAGUUAACUUCAUCAGUAAAUCCAACACACUGAAAUCAUCUGCCAUCUGUUGGAAUGCAGCAAGAACACAGCACCACUUCUGUGAUAUUCCCACCAAAUAUGCAUAAGCUCAACAUAAUCAUGAGGAAACAUCAGAUAACUCAACGGAGGUUGUCCAACAAAAUGACUUUCACACAAUUUUGACCAUGAAUGUCAAGGUCAUGAUAGUCAAUAAAGACUGAGGACCUGUUCCAGACUAAAAGAGAAUAAGAACAUGUCCACCAAAUGCAAUAUGUUGUUUUGAAAAAAAUCACACAUCUAAACACAAUGUGUAAUUUCAUAACUUUUGUUAUAAAAAGACAUGAACGGGACAUUUGGGGAAAAUUAGAGCCUUAGAUGAGAUAGUAGUCAUGUUAUUUUCUGAUUUUGAAAAAUUAUAUGGUAGUUAUGCAAAAAUGUCAUUGUGGAAAUGCACACUGAAGUAUUCAAGAGUAAUGAAAUAUCCUAGAUGGUUUGAGGGAAAAAGAUUCUUUGUACUGUACUUGGCAACUUUCUGUAAGUUGGAAAAUGAAUACAUGUAUUCAGUUCUCAUCACAUGUACUACUAUCACACAAAUGCAAACCAUCGUCUUCUCUUUCUUGCAUUUUUGCUUAAAACCACUGCGUCACUGUAUUUUCUCUCUUGGUGACUUUGAGCCAGCAAGCUGGGUGAGGCUCAGAUGAUGUUUGGCUGGAGCGGUCUCAUGCAAGUAUACUCGGAUGGCUGGAGCUGGAGCACAGAGGGGUGAAACGCUACAUUCCCCAUGUAGUCUCACAGCUUCCUGAAGUGGCUUCUCCAUGUGGAUUAAUUUGUGCUUUCUUCUAGUAUGUUGUCCUUGGGAGUAGUCAGACUCCCUAAGAGGCAGAUGCAGGCUUCCAAAAGUGAGUAAUCCAAUGAACAAAUCAGAAGCUGCACUGUCUUUUGAUGUACACAGCCUUGGAAGUCACAUAGCAUCAUUUCCACCAUCCUUAAUUGGUCAAAUAGUCAACAAAAGCAAAGCCAGUUUAAAGUUAGAGGGACAGAAUGUGGAGUGUGGUGGCAUACACCUGUAAUCCCAGCACUCAGGAGGCUGAGGCAGGAGCACUGAUGUUAAUUCAAGGCCAUCUUGGGCUAGUGAGUUCAAGACCAGCCUGAACUACACAGAGAGACCCUGUCUCAAAAAUUAAAUUAAAUUAAAAAGUAGAGGGACACAGAUCCCUCCUCUUGAUUGGAAUAGUGUCAAAGUCACAUAUUACAAGAGCAUGUGGACUAUAAGGUGGUCAUAUGUUGUAGCCAUCUUUGGAUAAUACAUUUACCACAAUGACUGAUAAAGCCUCAUGAGAUCUGGACCUUUACAACCUUCCUGAAUCUACCCUUUUUAUGUUUUAUUUAUCUCCCUAAGUUGCUAAGUUGCCCAUGCUGGGCUCGAACUUGCAGUCCUCCUGCCUCAGCCUCCCAGAUGACUGGUAUUACAGGCAUAUGCCACCAUGCCUGACUCUGAAUUUUCCUGUUAUCCUCCUUGCUUUCUCUGAUUCAUUACACUGGGUUCUCUACUGUCCUUUGAAGAGACAAGCACACCCACCCCUUCCUUAGGACCUCUGUACUUGCCUUUCUCAUGUUCUCUAAAACAUUCUUCCUCAAGAUACCUAAAUGUCUAGCUUCCACUUUUCUUUAGGUCUCUGACAACCUUCUUAGCCUAUCUGACAACCCUUCUCAAUGGUCCUAUCCUCACCCUAUCUUCCCUUUCACUGCUAUAUUUUCUUUGUCACACCUUUACAAACCUGGUAUUUAUAUGUUCACUUAUGUGUUUGCCUCUUCUCUCUCUCCCUGGUGGAAUGUUAGUUCCACCAGACUGUGGACUUUCUCUCUUUGUUCAGUAUUGAAAUAUACAUUUAGCCCAUAGCUAUGCAGGACCUAUCACAGCUACAAGUGAGCUUGGAAGUUGAUCCCUCCUGGGUUGUGGCUUGACACGACAGUAGCUCCAGCCAAUACUUUGCGACAUCAAGUGAGACAGAGGCAAAGGCACCUAGCUGCGCUGUGCCUGGAUUCCAGACUCAUGGAAAAAGUGAGAUAAUAGAUUUUGUUGUUUAACCCUGCUAAGUUUUGAACUAGCUUAUUAAAGUGAAAUAGAUAACUACAGCAGAGUCCUUCUCUGUGAGGCCUGGCCAUCCCAGCUGAGCUGCCAGUUUUAGACGCAUAACUGAGCCCAGGAGAAACCAGCAAGAGAACCAACACAAUUGGGAUAGAAAAAUGUCCUGUUGUAGUAAGCCAGGAGUGACUUUCUAUGGUAGUCUGUAACUGAUUGUGCUGGAUUAACUAAUGGUCAACUUGGAAUGCCCAGCUGAAGUGAGUCAGCAUGGUUCUGGGUGUGGAAGACCCACCUGAGGAUUGUUGCCAACGAAAACAAUGAAAACUGGAGAGAAGGAAGAUUGUUGGCUGUUGAUUUUCUUGAAGAAGAAAAUCCUGGUUUUCCUGAUGCGAACUUGGCUGUUCUUGUCAGAGGAGAAGCUCAGGUCCUGGCUGUCACUGGAGAUGGCUGCUGUUUCCUCAGGGGAGCUGUGGUCUUUGCCUUGAGCAUCGCUUCCUGGCUGCAGUGCAGAUCCCUCAGCCUGGGGGCACAGACCCUUCACCCCACCAGUGCAGACUUUCUAGCUUCCUCCACUUGCCUUUGGGCCUUCCUGGUGCAGAUCCUCCAUACGGACUUGCAUGAGACAUUGCUGUGGGCUCUAGGCCUCUGGCUGGACUUGUGCAGGACAUUAGUGUGGGACCCAGGCCCUCAGCUGUACUCUUCGGGUUUCUAGCAUGUGGACAGAUCUCUUGCACUCCUCUGCAUUUGACUUUUGGG